rnacentral:rRNA from 1 species
AAUCAACGCUGGCGGCGUGCCUCAGACAUGCAAGUCGAACGCGAAAGCCCUUCGGGGCAAGUAGAGUGGCGCACGGGUGAGUAACACGUAGGUAAUCUACCUUUGGAUGGGGAAUAACAACCGGAAACGGUUGCUAAUACCGCAUAAUGCAGCGGCACCUAAUGGUGACAGUAGUUAAAGCGGGGGAUCGCAAGACCUCGCGUCUGAAGAGGAGCCUGCGGCAGAUUAGCUAGUUGGUAGGGUAACGGCUUACCAAGGCGAUGAUCUGUAGCCGGCCUAAGAGGGCGGUCGGCCACACUGACACUGACAUACGGGUCAGACUCCUACGGGAGGCAGCAGUCGGGAAUUUGGGCAAUGGGCGAAAGCCUGACCCAGCAACGCCGCGUGAAGGAUGAAAUCCCUCGGGAUGUAAACUCCGCAAGAACGGGAAGAAUAAGUAAGAGUUAAUAUCUCUUACGAUGACGGUACCGUUUGUAAGCUCCGGCUAACUCCGUGCCAGCAGCCGCGGU